rnacentral:rRNA from 1 species
GAUGAACGCUGGCGGCGUGCCUAACACAUGCAAGUCGAGCGAACGAACGAAACUUUCUCUUCUCUUAUGUUACCGACGGGUGGGUGAGUCAUACGUAGCUAACCUAUAUAUAAGGCUGAGAUAAGUUAGGGAGAGCGGAGCUCAUACCCGAUGAGAUUUUGAACGGCAUGGUUCUACAGAGAUAGACCGUUUUGCUGUGACUUAUAGAUGUAUCCGCGUUGUAUUAGCUAGUUGGUAAGGUAACGGCCUACCAAGGCAACGAUGCGUAGCCGAUCUGAGAGGAUGAUCGGCCACACUGGAACUGAGACACGGUCCAGACUCCUACGGGAGGCAGCAGUAGGGAAUGUUCGGCAAUGGGCGAAAGCCUGACGGAGCAACGCCGCGUGUGUGAUGAAGGUCUUCGGAUCGUAAAGCUCUGUUAUUAGGGAAGAACAUAUGUGAGUGUAAAUGUGGAGAUCUUGACGGUACCUACAGAAAAAGCAACGGCUAACUACGUG